GCACAGGUGCUGCAUGGCUGUCGUCAGCUCGUGUCGUGAGAUGUUCGGUUAAGUCCGCUAACGAGCGCAACCCUCACUGUGUGUUAUAUGUGUCACGACGGGACUGCCGGUUUUAAAGCCGGAGGAAGGCGGGGAUGACGUCAAGUCAGCAUGGCCUUUAUAUCCUGGGCUACACACACGCUACAAUGGCCAACACAAUAGGUUGCUAAGCCGCGAGGUGGAGCCAAUCCUCAAAGUUGGUCUCAGUUCAGAUUGCAGGCUGCAACCCGCCUGCAUGAAGAUGGAGUUGCUAGUAACCGCAGGUCAGCUAUACUGCGGUGAAUACGUUCCCGGGGCUU
rnacentral:rRNA from 1 species